GCAACCCAAUUCUAUUACCGUUGCCUUUUAGAGGUUCAUUGUCCUAAAUUCAGCAUAAAUGUCUGCGAAUCGAAGUAGUAGCUGCAAGGCUUCUCUAGCUGGAGACCGUGAAGAUGGUUCGCAACCAGAUUAUUUUCGUCGCUCUCGCCAUAUUUUGUGUUUUGUCACCGUUAGAGAUGGGAGGUCCCACAUGUGCUCAUGCAGGUUAUGACUAUCGAGCUUUCCAUCCUUCAGGACCAUACUGGAGAAACCAGCGUACUACGACUACUAGACGUACAACUACACCUGCACGCAGGCCAGGAGGAAAAUGCGGAUAAGAAAAAGUCAACUACUCAAGAUAUUCGGCUACGGAACACUCGAAGUCGAACUAAAGAGGAAAAUAAAAU